ensembl:lncRNA
UUGCCACUGAAUUGAAAGGAGAGUAGCCUCCCAUUAAAAAGCACAAAUCUAACAGCCCCGCCGUGUCACACCUAUGAUUAAACAGCUCCACUGACACUGGCCAUGUUUGUGUGUAUGUGAGUGUCAGGGUGUGUGUGUGUGUGCGUGUGUGUGUGUGUGUGUACUAGGGAUGGGCAUAAUUAAUCGACGAUCGAUUAAUUGAUCAUUAAGAAUUUCCUCGAUGAAAUUAUUUUUUCAUCGAUUAAAACUAAUGCAUGUUCUGUUGCGUAGUGUGCGUGUAAUUUAUUUAUUUUAGGGCUGUCAAAGUUAACACGUUAUUCUAUGAGAUUAUUGUGGCCGAGAUUAAUGCAAUAAAAUAUUUGAACGCAGUUAACGCAACUUUGUUUACUUCCGGUGCGCGUUGACCCAUGGCACGAAACUGCCGCGUGUCUGCAAUCAGUUAGAUAGAAGAGACCGAGACGGUAGUUAAAGAUGGAGAGAGCUGAGGGAUUGUUGGGCGGAAAGUUUCUGUUUAAGAGGCAAAAUGACAGAACAAUCGACAAAACUAAAGUUGUAUGUAGCAUUUGUCAAGCUGAAUGUAGCUAUCACAGAAGCAGCUCGUCUUUAAGUUAUCACCUUAAUGCAAAGCACACGACAGAAAGCAGUCCCAGGUUAGAUGGUCGCCAACCCACACUCCACAACUUCUCUAGGAAAUUAACUAGACCAGUCCGUGAAAAGGUUACCAACACUGUAGCAGUUUAGGUUGCCGGUGACUGUCGGCCCAUCAACAUAGUUGAAUGAAUGGUGGGCUGACUGAGGUGAUUCGAAUUGCUUCAGGGGACAAUUCUUACGAUGUACCGUCGAGGGGCACCAUUGUGUCUCGCAUACAUUCCUUGUAUGACGGCGAGAGAGCACGAAAAAAAUACAAUUAAACAACAGUGUCUAAAAUACACGCUGUCUGAAGUGAUUACUCGUUAAUUUAUAAGAUUUAGUCUUCAGAAGAAAACAAACUUUUAAUCACGAUGAAUCUAGAUGAAUGAAUUUCAAAAUGUGAGAUUAAUUAGUUAGAGAGAAAAAAAAAAAACGAAGGUCAGUUGUGUUUAUGAGCACCGGCUUCUAGCUGUCGGCUCCGCUGCUUAAGAGUACAACAGCGCAUAUUUUCAAGUGUAACCAUUGAACGGAUCCCGUUUAACUGCCACAAGAGUUGUCCAUCUUGUAAGUUUAACUGCCACAAGAGUUGUUCAUCUUGUAAUAAAGAUCUCAAUGAGGAAACACGCUGUGUUUUUUCUAUUUUCACUGCAUUUUAAUAUAGCCUAUA